UGGGGAAUCUUGGACAAUGGGGGCAACCCUGAUCCAGCCAUGCCGCGUGAGUGAUGAAGGCCUUAGGGUCGUAAAGCUCUUUCGCCUGUGAAGAUAAUGACGGUAGCAGGUAAAGAAACCCCGGCUAACUCCGUGCCAGCAGCCGCGGUAAUACGGAGGGGGCAAGCGUUAUUCGGAAUUACUGGGCGUAAAGCGCACGUAGGCGGACCAGAAAGUUGGGGUGAAAUCCCGGGGCUCAACCCCGGAACUGCCUCCAAAACUAUUGGUCUAGAGUUCGAGAGAGGUGAGUGGAAUUCCAAGUGUAGAGGUGAAAUUCGUAGAUAUUUGGAGGAACACCAGUGGCGAAGGCGGCUCACUGGCUCGAUACUGACGCUGAGGUGCGAAAGUGUGGGGAGCAAACAGGAUUAGAUACCCUGGUAGUCCACACCGUAAAACGAUGAAUGCCAGUCGUCGGGUAGCAUGCUAUUCGGUGACACACCUAACGGAUUAAGCAUUCCGCCUGGGGAGUACGGUCGCAAGAUUAAAACUUAAAUGAAUUG
rnacentral:rRNA from 1 species